CUCAAGCCAUAGAUAAGUAUCUGAAAACCCAGUCUCCACAGCCAUAGUGUCUUCAAACGUGGGAUUAGCAAUGGCUUCCAUGUCUUUAAGGGUUUUAAUGUGUGGUUUUAGAGGGUUAAUUGUCAUGUGUGUAGAGUCUACCCAGUCAGGUGACGUAAGCAUGUCUUGUAAAUAGAAGGUCCCCAACUUGUUAUAUGAGUCACCCCCUCAUGAGUCAUACCCUGGGCUGGUAUGUUCUAUGUUUAAGGUGAGUUUCAUUGGGGUAGACCCUGUUGGCUUACAUAAGGUCAUUCUGUGUAACAAGGGUUUCCCAUAUCUGUCAAUCCUAUCUAAGGCACUUUGUGGUCUGUAGCCCCACGGUCGGCCUGUGUUCCAACCCACUGCUUUCCAGGUACCACAGUGUGUCCCCAAUGGCCACCUGUCACACAAAUGUAGGGGUUCUUCUUGUUCGGUGUGUCUUUGUGUAUUGCUGAGUGUUGUGACUGUGGAAAGGUACAAG